CCAGAUGGCUGGAUGGCUGCCUUUCGGCAAUGGGGAAACCCGCCGAGGGGAGGAAAGUCCGGGCUCCAUGGGAACACGAUGCCGGGUAACGCCCGGCGGGGGCAACCCCAGGGAAAGUGCCACAGAAAGCAAACCGCCCGGCCAUGGCCGGGUAAGGGUGAAAGGGUGCGGUAAGAGCGCACCGCGGUCUUGGCAACAAGACCGGCACGGCAAACCCCAUCGGGAGCAAGACCGAGUAGGGAUGGCGUAUGGCGGGUUUCCACGCUGCUAUCCGGGUAGGUCGCGCGAGGUGUCUGGUAACAGGCGCCCCAGAUGAAUGGUCAUCCGUCUCCUUAGGAGACGACAGAACCCGGCUUACAGGUCAUCUGGUGCU
rnacentral:RNase_P_RNA from 1 species